UGUGGAGAUGCCCAGCUGCUGAAACCGGAUCUCUCGGUGGGUAAGAAAAUUCUUGAGGUAUGCUUGAAUCUCUCCGAUGUGAUGCUUCCAUAAAAGCAUCAUUUUUUCUGCAUAAAUGGGAGAACCACUGGAGAUCAAUACAAACCUUUAAAACACUUUGAAAACUGAUUUUUGUAACAUUUGUAAGAUCAUUAAUGACUUAUCUACCUUCAGCUACAACCAGCAUUACUGCAAAGACUGGCAACUUCCCUGUACUACAGCUUCUGACAAUAUCGCUGAUACUUCAGGUAAACAAAAUGCUAAAUGGGCUGCUGUGCUAGGAAUCUAGUCCUUGUGCAAGGUGCCUGCUGAUUUAUGGACUGAUCAGCCUGUCAUACUAACUUGAAGUGAUUAUGCUGUUGGACUCUGUUCACUGCCUGAGAGUCUGCUCUGUUGCAAACCCUCAGUGGUAGAAAUGAAACAGAUUUGCAUUUUCCCUUACUGGAGACUCAUUAUGGAUUUCAGUUUUUGCACAUCUAAGGUCUAAAAUGCAACCAUGCCUUUCUAGAGAACAUGACAAGAAUUAUCUGAAUACCUUUUUCUUGCAAGUCUAAAGGCUCUCAGCUGCAUGGCACAUGUAUAUUAAGCAUAAAGCUAUUUGUUUGCUACAGGUAAUGCUCUUUUUAUUCUCUUUCACUGAAACUGAAAAAAAUUUUGACUCCAUUCUUAAAAGCCACUUCACUGCUCCUGCUAACCUAGUCUGGAAUUACAACAGCAGGAUUUGGUUCGGUAAAAGCUUUCCUUUUGCUAGUCAGACAGCAGAGUUUAUCUAGAAUUUUGGAAUGUAACCUCUGCUUCUAUCUAUGGGGAAUGCCAUCACAUUGUAUACACUGAGAAGGAAGGUCAAUCAGAAAGAUGUAGCAAUGACUUGUCUGAAACAUGUUCUCAUCUUUCCCAUGGCUAAUUUCACUCCAGACAGCCGUAAGACUCCUUCAAAGCAGAGUUAAUCGUGUGACAGUUACCGUGACCUAUCAUGUGCUGGAUGAUGGAGGCAGCUUGAAAGGAUGACUCAGUGUGUUCCAGUUGGCCAGCCAGUCUCACCAAGCACUUUGUCAAAUGUUCAUCCAUCCAUUGGACCAUGUGUAGUGUGGCUCCUUCUAGAAGACAGAAAGAUAAGAGAGUAGUCUGUAAACAGAAAGUCCAUUGUUGAAGAAAUGAAGUAGAGAGUUCUGCCAGAAACCAUACAGCCUAAAUAGGGAAUUCUUCAUGCAGCUAGAGAAGCGAAAUAAGUGCUGAGCUUGGUUAGCUGAAUCUGCUAUGCCAAAAGUGGUGUUGGACAGCAUGUCUCUGUACUGGGAUAUAUGUUUUAUAGACCGAGUUGAAAACAGGAGACUUAGCCUAUGCUGACCUGGAUUAAAAGCACAUGAGACUGAAAAAUGAGUUCUGAAUGAGUCACCUCACUGUGACUGGAAGUGACUGUUUUUAACUUGCUGCUUAGAGGUUGAAGAUGGAUCCAACACUGCUGCCUUUCAAGCUCCCACGCUCUGUGUCCUGCUGGCAUAAAAACAACACCGGUUUUUAUCUCUUGUGCCAAGGACUCUUCUGUGUUUUAGAAAGUGUUCCUAAGAAUUGACCCUGGAAACCUGGCACUCCCAGUUAUGUCUGUGUAUUCACUUAUGCAGUGAGAGCUAGGUAGUCUAUACAUUAUAAAGCUUUAUGAAGGUGAACCAGCUCCUGGCUGAUAACAAAGUCACAAAAUCUAAGUACUUUAAAAAAAUGACCAUAUUUGUCAAACUUUGAAAGGAUGGUCCAUUUUUACUCUUACUGUGAGCCUUGAGUUUGAGGGCAUCUAGUUCCUUGAAAAACUUGAUUUCUCAACUAUUAGAAAUUUAUAUAAUUCUUAUCUUAGUACCAGUGAAAAAAUACCAUACUUUUCCUUCUGGCUAGUUUUAAUGUCUGGAACUAGUGGCAACUGGAUCAUGAUAAAAGAGGAAAAGAAAGAACUGAGUUUUGAAAAGUGUGUACCAGGAAGUGGGACAAAGCAGAAAUGAGGAUUUAGGUGAUUGUUCCCCCCCCCCCCCCAGUAUUGAUUGUUACUAAUGGUACUAUUUGAUCAAGGUACUCUUAAAGGCAAGGAAAAAGGAAGUGCAUCUGUGCAUAUGGAUUUCAAAGCAAACUCAGCAACAGAGAUCUUUAUAACAUUUUGGCACAACUGGUAUCUUGCCAAACAGGUAAAAUAUACAUCAAUAGGUCAGGUUAUAUUUGACAAUAAAGGGCAGCUGAAGCAUGAGAGCUAGGAAAUAAAGAUGCAGCUUAUAACAGACCUCAGAUUUUCCUAGAUGGUUCCUUUAAUUAGCAUGAAAUGUCUUUGGUAGAGGAAUGUUUUAUACCUAUGAUGCAGUCAUUUCAAUUAGGUAACCACAUCACUGAUAGAAAAGAUUAAAUAUUCCUUAUUUUCAUUAGCAUUAUUGUAUUGGGAAAAUAUGAAUAAACCCUCCUUUCAUUAUGGCACAUCAGGUCCUUUUAUUCAUACCUAGAAUUUUGUGUAGAAUAUCCUUGGCAUAUAUUUAAUUAUCCACAGAAAUUUUAAUUUUUUUUUUUAAUGCUGAUUUGAUAUAAACAUAAUGGCAACCUCCUGGGGUAUAGCUCAGUGAAAAAUAUUGGGUACCUACCUGUCUG